UACAGAGGUCUCGAGCGUUAGGCGGAAUCACUGGGCGUAAAGCGCACGUAGGCGGACUCUUAAGUCGGUGGUGAAAUCCUGGAGCUCAACUCCAGAACUGCCUUCGAUACUGGGAGUCUCGAGUUCGGGGAGAGGUGAGUGGAACUGCGAGUGUAGAGGUGAAAUGCGUAGAUAUCGGGAGGAAUACCAGUGGCGAAGGCGGCUUCCUGGCCUGUUCUUGACGCUGAGGCGCGGAAAGCUGGGGGAGCAAACGGGG
rnacentral:rRNA from 1 species